rnacentral:snRNA from 1 species
UUACUUCCGCAGUACGCAUACUAAAAUUGCAACAAUACAGAGAAGAUUGGCAUGGCCCCUGCUCAAGGAUGACAUGCAUAUCUGUGAAGCUUUCCAUAUUUCU